UACGUAGGGCGCAAGCGUUAUCCGGAAUUAUUGGGCGUAAAGAGCUCGUAGGCGGUUUGUCGCGUCUGCCGUGAAAGUCCGGGGCUCAACUCCGGAUCUGCGGUGGGUACGGGCAGACUAGAGUGAUGUAGGGGAGACUGGAAUUCCUGGUGUAGCGGUGAAAUGCGCAGAUAUCAGGAGGAACACCGGUGGCGAAGGCGGGUCUCUGGGCAGCAACUGACGCUGAGGAGCGAAAGCAUGGGGAGCGAACAGG
rnacentral:rRNA from 1 species